UACGUAGGGUGCAAGCGUUGUCCGGAAUUAUUGGGCGUAAAGAGCUCGUAGGCGGUUUGUCGCGUCUGCUGUGAAAACUCGGGGCUUAACUCCGGGCCUGCAGUGGGUACGGGCAGACUAGAGUGCGGUAGGGGAGACUGGAAUUCCUGGUGUAGCGGUGAUAUGCGCAGAUAUCAGGAGGAACACCGGUGGCGAAGGCGGGUCUCUGGGCCGUAACUGACGCUGAGGAGCGAAAGCGUGGGGAGCGAACAGG
rnacentral:rRNA from 1 species